AUGGAAAACGACGGCGUCCCCAACGGACCAGCGGGGCCGGCGCCUACCCAGGCGACGCCGGUGGUGCGGGAGCAGGACCGGCUGAUGCCGAUCGCAAACGUGAUCCGCAUCAUGCGCCGCGCGCUCCCUGCCCACGCCAAGAUCUCCGACGAAGCCAAGGAGGCGAUCCAGGAAUGCGUGUCGGAGUUCAUCAGCUUCGACACCGGCGAGGCCAACGAACGGUGCCGCAUGCAGCGCCGCAAGACCGUCAACGCCGAAGACAUCGUGUGGGCCCUAAACCGCCUCGGCUUCGACGACUACGUCGUGCCCCUCAGCGUCUUCCUGGAGCGCAUGCGCGACCCCGAGGCGGGGACAGGUGGUGCCGCUGCAGGCUACAGCCGCGCCGUGAUGAGUGCGCCUCCCCGUGCGGCCUCGCCUGUGAUCCACGCCGUGCCGCUGCAGGCUCAGCGCCCGAUGUACGCGACCCCAGCUCCGGUGCAGGUUCAUAAUCAGAUGCAGCGGCCCGUGUAUGCUCCCCCGGCUCCGCUACAGGUUCAGAUGCAGCAGGGCAUCUAUGGGCCCCGGGCUCCAGUGCACGGGUACGCCGUCGGAAUGGCACCCGUGCGGGCCAACGUCGGCGGGUAG
rnacentral:rRNA from 1 species